rnacentral:lncRNA from 1 species
UUGGGGUUUUACGCCCACGGCCUGUCUGUUUGUCACUUUCUUCCGUCUUGUCAAGGCGGUUCAGAAUUUUUAUUAUUUCUCCCCUCGUAGUGGGUUAUCUCUCUUCACGGGCUAUAAGGAUUCCAUAAAGGGAUGGGUAGAGAGUUUCCUUGUGGCAGAGCUGAAAUUAGAAUCCGCCUUAUCGUGGGGAGUAGAUCUAAGUUGGGAGGAUGUUCCUCCGGGCUGCAAUGACCUGCCCCGAUUAAGCCUUAUUGAGCAGGUGGGGUUGCUUCGACUGAUUUCUGUUGAGA